rnacentral:snRNA from 1 species
GUGCUCGCUUCGGCAGCACAUAUACUAAAAUUGGACUGAUACAGAGAAGAUUAGCAUGGCCUCAGCGCAAGGAUGACAUGCAAAUUUGUGAAGCUUUCCAUAUUUUU